rnacentral:rRNA from 1 species
GAUCCUGGCUCAGGAUGAACGCUAGCGGCAGGCUUAACACAUGCAAGUCGAGGGGCAACGCGAGUAGCAAUACUUGGCGGCGGACCGGCGCAAGGGUGCGUAACGCGUGAGCAACAUGCCCGUAUCAGGGGGAUAAUCCAGGGAAACUUGGUCUAAUACCCCAUAGUAAUUUUGUAAGGCAUCUUAUAAGAUUUAAAGCUUUGGUGGAUACGGAUUGGCUCGCGUGACAUUAGCUGGAUGGUAAGGUAACGGCUUACCAUGGCUAUGAUGUCUAGGGGUUCUGAGAGGAAGGUCCCCCACACUGGAACUGAGACACGGUCCAGACUCCUACGGGAGGCAGCAGUGAGGAAUAUUGGACAAUGGAUGGAAAUCUGAUCCAGCCAUGCCGCGUGAAGGAAGAAGGUCCUAUGGAUUGUAAACUUCUUUUGUAUGGGAGCAAUAAGGCCUACGAGUAGGUUGAUGAGAGUACCAUACGAAUAAGCACCGGCUAACUCCGUGCCAGCCGCUGC